rnacentral:rRNA from 1 species
GACGAACGCUGGCGGCGUGCUUAACACAUGCAAGUCGAACGGAAAGGCCCUGCUUGCAGGGUACUCGAGUGGCGAACGGGUGAGUGACACGUGGGUGAUCUGCCCUGCACUUCGGGAUAAGCCUGGGAAGCUGGGUCUAAUACCGGAUAGGAGCCAUUUUUAGUGUGAUGGUUGGAAAGUUUUUUCGGUGUAGGAUGAGCUCGCGGCCUAUCAGCUUGUUGGUGGGGUAAUGGCCUACCAAGGCGGCGACGGGUAGCCGGCCUGAGAGGGUGGACGGCCACAUUGGGACUGAGAUACGGCCCAGACUCCUACGGGAGGCAGCAGUGGGGAAUAUUGCACAAUGGGCGCAAGCCUGAUGCAGCGACGCCGCGUGGGGGAUGACGGCCUUCGGGUUGUAAACGCCUUUCGCUAGGGACGAAGCUUUUUGUGACGGUACCUAGAUAAGAAGCACCGGCUAACUACGUG